rnacentral:piRNA from 1 species
UCCAGAGGUGACCUUUGUGUGGAGUGUGU